AACCAAGUCAGCAAGUGGAACAAUAGAAAAUGAUACGACAUUCAGGUUACAAACAAGACCAAAGGAAGAUGUGGAAUUAAGUUUCGAUUCUGAGAGUCUCUCUGAGAGUGUUCCACAGAAUUAUGUUUGUUUUCCUUGGGCUACAGAUCAAAAUGUUGAAAAUACA